rnacentral:rRNA from 1 species
AGAAAUAACAAUACAAGGCAGUUAAAAUGCUUUGUAAUUGGAAUGAUAGAAAUUUAAACCCUUUUUAAAGUAUCAAUUGGAGGGCAAGUCUGGUGCCAGCAGCCGCGGUAAUUCCAGCUCCAAUAGCGUAUAUUAAAAUUGUUGCAGUUAAAAAGCUCGUAGUUGAAGUUCUGCUGAAAGUAACCGGUCUGCUUUUAAUAAAAGUGGUAUCUUGGUAUGUAUUUAGCAAUGAUGUCCUUUGAAGUGUUUUUUACUUUAUUGUAAUAAAGCAUAUUCAGGACUUUUACUUUGAGAAAAUUAGAGUGUUUCUAGCAGGCUAACGCUUUGAAUACUGCAGCAUGGAAUAAUAAGAUAGGAUUUUAGUUCUACAUUAUUGGUUUUAAGAGCUAAAUUAAUGAUUGAUAGGGACAGUUGGGGGCAUUUGUAUUUAACUGUCAGAGGUGAAAUUCUUAGAUUUGUUAAAGACAAAC